UUUCCGUAGGUGAACCUGCGGAAGGAUCAUUAUUGUAUAACCGAGGUGCGAGGGCUGUCGCUGACCCGACAAGUCUUGCACGCCCGAGUUCCCUCACACACAUCCAUCUCACCCCUAAGUGCACCACCGCGUGGGUCCCCAUUUGGCUUGUUCGGAGGGGGGCUUACGUUUUCACACAAACUUUGUAUGCAGUGUAGAAUGUAUUUUUUGUUUUUGCGUUCACGCAAUCAAUAUAACUUUCAACAACGGAUCUCUUGGCUCUC
rnacentral:misc_RNA from 1 species